UGUUUUCUUCAAAGGUUCCAGCAGAGCAGGUGAGCCGCUAGCUUCUUCGUGGAGCACGAUGUUGGAUUCGAUGUUUAGCCAGGAGAUCCAGAUCAGGGUUCUGAGACUCGUGGCGGGUUUCCUUCCAGCUUCUAGCCUCUUCAGGCCAUGUUGUAUUCUUGUCCGUACUCGGGCAUAAUUCGACUUUCGUUGAUGUAAUGAUGUAAUGUUGGGACAUGUGUCCUCUCUUUGUAAUGAUUGUUAUUCUGCUCCUUGUAUGAGCUUUGUAAUUACUCUCUUCUGUAGAGUUUUGGUAAUG
rnacentral:lncRNA from 1 species